CUAGAAUACCAGGUGAUUCAGAAGGCAUUUCAGUCAGGCAGCUGUUAAUUAUUUCCACAGUCAGUCAGGGAGAAGGUAAGAAGAAGGGCGGAUUUCCACACCAGGGACCUCACAGUCAACUCAAAAGAUAGGGGUCAGAGUAAAGGCAGGUGCUCGAGCCAGACUUCAUGCCCUUAGACGUGAAGCCUGAGAAAGCUUGAGAUGGAUGGGAUCUGCGGGGUCAUCUGGUUCUUCAAAGCAAAGAGGAGCAGGCAGGGAGCGGGCUCAGCGCUAGGCCCUGGGAGAGAGUCCAGAGAGCGGCUGUCAACUCCCUGCUUCUCUACUCAAUAACUCCUUUCAAUAGGAUGCCCUGAGAGGAGAAAGAUUCCAGGUGGGUAUUGGUCUUAAUUUUCUUUUUCUGAUUUUUAUUUUCCUUAAUCCCCAUCUAGCCCAACAUUUUUAGUGAGUGCUACCAUGGGUGCCACUAUGCUGACUAGUCAGGGGCAUAAAUAUAAGAAGCCACUAAGGAGUUGCAAGUGCAUGUAACCAAGUUGAAUUUGCAUCUAUUCAUCUAUCCACCAAGCC
rnacentral:lncRNA from 1 species